UACAGAGGGGGCAAGCGUUGUUCGGAUUUACUGGGCGUAAAGGGCGCGUAGGCGGCACUGCAAGUCAGUUGUGAAAUCUCCGGGCUUAACCCGGAAAGGUCAACUGAUACUGCAGGGCUAGAGUGCAGAAGGGGCAACUGGAAUUCUCGGUGUAGCGGUGAAAUGCGUAGAUAUCGAGAGGAACACCUGCGGCGAAGGCGGGUUGCUGGGCUGACACUGACGCUGAGGCGCGAAAGCCAGGGGAGCGAACGGG
rnacentral:rRNA from 1 species